UACACUCCUACGGAAGGCAGCAGUGGGGAAUAUUGCACAAUGGGCGCAAGCCUGAUGCAGCCAUGCCGCGUGUAUGAAGAAGGCCUUCGGGUUGUAAAGUACUUUCAGCGGGGAGGAAGGCGAUAAGGUUAAUAACCUUGUCGAUUGACGUUACCCGCAGAAGAAGCACCGGCUAACUCCGUGCCAGCAGCCGCGGUAAUACGGAGGGUGCAAGCGUUAAUCGGAAUUACUGGGCGUAAAGCGCACGCAGGCGGUCUGUCAAGUCGGAUGUGAAAUCCCCGGGCUCAACCUGGGAACUGCAUUCGAAACUGGCAGGCUAGAGUCUUGUAGAGGGGGGUAGAAUUCCAGGUGUAGCGGUGAAAUGCGUAGAGAUCUGGAGGAAUACCGGUGGCGAAGGCGGCCCCCUGGACAAAGACUGACGCUCAGGUGCGAAAGCGUGGGGAGCAAACAGGAUUAGAUACCCGGGUAGUCCCA
rnacentral:rRNA from 1 species